rnacentral:misc_RNA from 1 species
UCUCCGUAGGUGAACCUGCGGAGGGAUCAUUACUGAGUGAGGGUCUCCGGGCCCGACCUCCAACCCUUUGUGAACACAACUUGUUGCUUCGGGGGCGACCCUGCCGUUUCGAUGGCGAGCGCCCCCGGAGGCCUUCAAACACUGCAUCAUUGCGUCGGAGUUAAAGUAAAUUAAACAAAACUUUCAACAACGGAUCUCUUGGUUCCAGCAUCGAUGAAGAACGCAGC